rnacentral:rRNA from 1 species
AUGACUUCAACAAGAAGACUAGCUUGCAUUCCCUACUUCCACCUUGAUGAGCAAACCGAAGACGAUAUCAUUUGGAAGCAUGCGAACGAUGGGAUAUACACGGCGAGCACCGCCUAGAAAGCUCAAUUUCUCGGCCUGACCCUGUCCCCCAUGGACCGCAUGGUCUGGAAGGCUUGGGCACCUCCAAAGGUUAAUUUCUUUGCUUGGUUGGCUCUGCAAGAUAGGAUUUGGACCGCCGAUCUCUUGGAGAAGAGUGGUUGGCCAAACUGUGGCCCUUGCCCGCUUUGUAAAAGGGAACAAGAAACAGGGAUACACCUCUUUGUCAAGUGUCGCUACACGCUUAGACUCUGGAGAUCAAUCAUUGAGAAGCUUGGGCUCGUGCACAUGGACACCUUCGAAUGGCAGUUAGAUGAAUCUGCCAUUGAGUGGUGGCAGAAAAGAACCGACGACAGCAACCCUCCCGGAUCCUGA